UACAGAGGUCUCAAGCGUUGUUCGGAAUCACUGGGCGUAAAGGGUGCGUAGGCGGCGCAAAAAGUCAGAUGUGAAAUCCGGAGGCUCAACCUCCGAAUUGCAUCCGAAACUGCUGUGCUGGAGAAUUGUAGAGGAGCUUGGAACUCUCGGUGUAGCAGUGAAAUGCGUAGAUAUCGAGAAGAACGCUCGCAGCGAAAGCGAGGCUCUGGGCAAUUUCUGACGCUGAUGCACGAAGGCUAGGGGAGCAAACGGG
rnacentral:rRNA from 1 species